rnacentral:rRNA from 1 species
AACGAACGCUGGCGGCAGGCUUAACACAUGCAAGUCGAACGCUCGUAGCGAUACGAGAGUGGCAGACGGGUGAGUAACACGUGGGAACAUACCCUUUGGUUCGGAACAACGCGUGGAAACGCGCGCUAAUACCGGAUAAGCCUCUGGAGUGAUCCGGGGGGAAAGAUUGAUUGCCGAAGGAUUGGCCCGCGUCCGAUUAGCUUGUUGGUGAGGUAACGGCUCACCAAGGCAUCGAUCGGUAGCUGGUCUGAGAGGAUGGCCAGCCACAUUGGGACUGAGACACGGCCCAAACUCCUACGGGAGGCAGCAGUGGGGAAUAUUGGACAAUGGGCGCAAGCCUGAU